ACUCCUACGGGAGGCAGCAGUGGGGAAUCUUGCGCAAUGGGCGAAAGCCUGACGCAGCAACGCCGCGUGAGUGAUGAAGGCCUUCGGGUCGUAAAGCUCUGUCAGGAGGGAAGAAUAAAUGACGGUACCUCCAAAGGAAGCACCGGCUAACUCCGUGCCAGCAGCCGCGGUAAUACGGAGGGUGCAAACGUUGCUCGGAAUCAUUGGGCGUAAAGCGCGCGUAGGCGGCCUAGUAAGUCUGAUGUGAAAGCCCAGGGCUCAACCCUGGAAAGCCAUUGGAAACUACUCGGCUUGAGAGCAGGAGGGGCAGGUGGAAUUCCUGGUGUAGGAGUGAAAUCCGUAGAGAUCAGGAGGAACACCGGUGGCGAAGGCGACCUGCUGGACUGUAUCUGACGCUGAGGCGCGAAAGCGUGGGGAGCAAACAGGAUUAGAUACCCUGGUAGGACAGU
rnacentral:rRNA from 1 species